CCUACGGGAUGCACCAGUGGGGAAUAUUGCACAAUGGGCGCAAGCCUGAUGCAGCCAUGCCGCGUGUAUGAAGAGGGCCUUCGGGUUGUAAAGUACUUUCAGCGGGGAGGAAGGCGAUAAGGUUAAUAACCUUGUCGAUUGACGUUACCAACAGAAGAAGCACCGGCUAACUCCGUGCCAGCAGCCGCGGUAAUACGGAGGGUGCAAGCGUUAAUCGGAAUUACUGGGCGUAAAGCGCACGCAGGCGGUUGAUUAAGUUAGAUGUGAAGUCCCCGGGCUUAACCUGGGAAUGGCAUCUAAGACUGGUCAGCUAGAGUCUUGUAGAGGGGGGUAGAAUUCCAUGUGUAGCGGUGAAAUGCGUAGAGAUGUGGAGGAAUACCGGUGGCGAAGGCGGCCCCCUGGACAAAGACUGACGCUCAGGUGCGAAAGCGUGGGGAGCAAACAGGAUUAGAUACCCGAGUAGUC
rnacentral:rRNA from 1 species